UUACGGCCAUAUCACGCUGAAACACUGGUUCUCGUACGAUUACCGAAGUUGAGCAAUGUCGAGUUUGGUCAUUAGCUAGAUGAAUGACCGCUUGGGAAUACCAAGUGCUGUAA